GUUGUCAUGUGUGAAGAUCUACACGAAAUUGAGACUUCUGGCACAGUGGCCUGCACUGUUCGAAGUCUGUAAGAUCAGUGCUGAAUUCAAAAUAAUCACCACAGUUCCCCUGCAAUCCAAGCAACUGUUGCUGAAUUGGCUGAUUUGUACAAGAUGCACCAUUUCUGAGGACUUCUGGCACAGUGGCCUGCACUGUUCAAAGUUCGCAAGAUCAGUGCUGAAUUGAAAAGAAUCACCAGUCCCACUGCAAUGGCCAGCACUGUUCGAAGUCCACAAGGUCAUGGAUGAAGUUGCCGUAGACGAAGCAAUUGAAGACAUCACAAUUGGAAUCUGCUCUGACAGAAGAUUGGGCAUCCCACCCUUUGGACAUUGUCAGUUUUAGUGUAUGUCUGUCACACACGUGACACCCAAUCGGAAAGGACUCUCUUUUUUUUUUUUCAGCAACUAAAAAACAGCAGUUAUUUUUGUUUCUUUAAGUGAAAUGUACCUUUUUUCUAGAGAUCUAUUUGCUUGUAUGCACUUCCAGCUCCUUACUGGUUUAAGAAUAGCACUUGAGUGUGCAUAUGUUUUGUACAUACUGUGUUGAUUUUGACCCAAACUAAAGACAAACAAAAUACCAAAACUAGACUUAAAUAAGACUGGGUAAUGACACAAAUGUGGUCACCAAAGAGGACAACCAAAUGAAUGGUGGACUGCCAGAUGCACGCGCACAUGCAUACAUUAUACGUGCACAUGCAUACAGUAUACGCGCAUGAACGCACACACGCACACCUACAAGUGUGGACUAAUGCACUUAGUCAAUGAGCUAAAAUAACUGUAUG